rnacentral:rRNA from 1 species
UACAGAGGGGGCUAGCGUUGUUCGGAAUUACUGGGCGUAAAGGGCGCGUAGGUGGCCUGUUAAGUCGAACGUGAAAUCCCCGGGCUCAACCCGGGAACUGCGUCCGAGACUGGCAGGCUCGAAUCCGGGAGAGGGAUGUGGAAUUCCAGGUGUAGCGGUGAAAUGCGUAGAUAUCUGGAGGAAUACCGGUGGCGAAGGCGGCAUCCUGGACCAUUACUGACGCUGAGGCGCGAAAGCUAGGGGAGCAAACGGG